rnacentral:lncRNA from 1 species
CCAUGGUAACUGGUUGAGUGGCAAACACAAAAACUGGUUAGGCACGUUAUUGCCCUGUGGAGCUGCCAGCAGCGGAGUCCUGCCUGGCUCUGAUCUCUGUCUUCUGUCCAGGAAUUAAUGCUCAUGCUAGGCAAAGGCUCCAGCAGCAAAACCUUCACCUGGCUCUGGAUCGGAGAGACCUCAACACCACUGGCUACUCUAUGACGGAAAUUUGUUCCACUCCUCUCAGGAAAUAUCCUGGGCCCUGAGUUACAUCAACUCCACAGCAAAAUGGCCACGGCCUUGUAUAUAGAAAGCCCUUUACAACGCAGAUCAUCUUUACAGAGGAACUUAGAACACUGGUCUAUACAGUGCAGGGCCUUCAGACAAUGCAGAAAAUUCCAGAGCUGUUCUCCAGUAUUGUAUGGACUCUUUCUCCAUUCAGAGCUCCAUAAUGAUAGUGGCUGA